rnacentral:misc_RNA from 1 species
GACCCUUUCUGCAAAGAGGCAUGGUAAAUCCUCUUAUAGUGGUUGUAGACAGCCACAGAAAGCACCUUUUUGGCUCUGUCUUGACCUAUAACGAACUUAUCAAGUCCCUUGCAAAUCUCCUUUGGCGUGGGCAAAUCCUUCCCCAAAUUAGAUCCACCCCAUCCAGCAGUCCUUUCCCCUCCUCCAGCUGGUCCAGUGGCUCUAAUCACAUUACAUUAACCCGGGGAGCAAAUGGCGGGCCAGGUGGAGUAUGAACUGCAAGGACAUUCUCACCAGGGGGCGGCCAAUUCUCAGGUGGGUCCCCUGCGUAGGUCCUGAGAGUAUCCCAAAAGGAAGCCCUGAGUCCAUUGGUGUAAUCCUCCUGGGAAUCCUCAGCGGCGUUAUUAUUGGAUUGUUUGGAGGAGUUUCUGUUCUUUGGUUUAUUGUUACUAACUCUGCCAAUUUCAAUAAAGCUACCCUGAAGAG